rnacentral:rRNA from 1 species
GACGAACGCUGGCGGCGCGCUUAACACAUGCAAGUCGAACGGAAAGGCCCUGCUUUUCUGGGGUGCUCGAGUGGCGAACGGGUGAGUAACACGUGAGUAACCUGCCUUUGACUUUGGGAUAACUUCAGGAAACUGGGGCUAAUACCGGAUAGGAGCUCCUGCUGCCUGGUGGGGGUUGGAAAGUUUCGGCGGUUGGGGAUGGACUCGCGGCGUAUCAGCUUGUUGGUGGGGUAGUGGCUUACCAAGGCUUGGACGGGUAGCAGGCCUGGGAGGGUGACCUGCCACAUUGGGACUGAGAUACGGCCCAGACUCCUACGGGAGGCAGCAGUGGAGAAUAUUGCACAGUGGGCGGGAGCCUGAUGCAGCAACGCCGCGUGCGGGAUGACGGCCUGCGUGUUGUAAACCGCUUUCGCCUGUGACGAAGCGUGAGUGACGGUAAUGGGUAAAGAAGCACCGGCUAACUACGUG